rnacentral:lncRNA from 1 species
CUAGGGGUUUAUAUUUUUAUUCUGCUAGAUUGUCACUACAUAUUGCUAGAUAUCACUGAUGGAUUAUGGGACUCAUCGAGCAUCGUCUUGAUGAUCAAAGACCCUCGAAGGACAGAGUUGAAAUUAUUUCAACCCAUCGAAAGGAGUUUCGAUGAUAUUGUGAUGAAAAUCAUAAUAUAUCUUACUACCAGAUAGAAUGGAACCUAUAGAGUCACACAUAAAAGAGAUUCUUGUCUGAUC